CGAUGGGCAACUGGAAAGAACGGGCAUUAUCGGGUUAAAUUGGGCUCAUAACCCGAAGGUCGUAGGUUCAAAUCCUACCCCCGCAACCA
rnacentral:tRNA from 1 species